UUCAUACCUGAUAUGCAAAAACAGUUAUUUUGCAUAUCAAUGAUGGCAGACUAGUCCUCCAGCUUGAAUAGAGCCAGAAGAUAUGCAUCACUUUGACCUGUGAUGUAACUGGGAGGCUUAUCACACCUGUUCAAGAGUUUGGAAAUGGUUAGCUCCAAGCCAAGGGUCCACGCCUGCCCACACUAACUAGGGCGGCCAAGAAAGGCAGAGAAUACAGGAGUGCUGGCAGGUGUAGCUGGUUGUGGGAGGAGUCGGAAAUGGGGUUAAGGAAGAGGUCCCAGGCUGGGAUUUAAAGUAAAAGGCGGGCUGCCAUGAGGGACGGCGGCUAUUGGAGAAUGCGUGGGGAAGAAAAGGGGUGAAAGGACUCUCGCUGGUGGGCCAGGAAGAGGUGCCACGUGGUUUUGGAUUGAGAACUGGAGAGCCGGGUGACACCGCUGAUGGUGCUGGGGACUGCGGGAGACCUGCCCAGGUGAGCACGGAUGACUGGGAGGAACGGGAGAAUGCCCCAUCAACUCCUUCCAAGAAGGAAGAGCUCCUAAUAUGAUUGCUGAAAGCAAGGAAUCCUUGGGCCACCUUUACUUCUGGGCAAGGUCACCACACUCAGAUGUGACGUCCUCUGGGCCCCAUCCCCCUCACCUUGGACAAGGUCCCCUGGGGUUUUGCUCCCUGCGCCCUCACUCUGGGCCCCAAGCUGAGGAAGUCUGCACAUCCGCCAAGUCACUGGUUACCAGUACCAGGAGGGGAGAAGGGGAAAGUGGCAAAUCACAGAGCAGUUCUUAAAGGCUUUCUUCUACCCACAAGUCACAAAGCCACUCUCGUACACACACCUCACUGGCCUGUGUAAGUCACACGACCCGCCUGUGCCCAGCCACCCAGCCAUCCAUCCCGGCACUACCUGCAUGGAAGCCCUUUUCCAGAAAGAAUCCACAGC